AGAGUUUGAUCAUGGCUCAGAGCGAACGCUGGCGGCGUACCUAACACAUGCAAGUCGAACGAGGAUCGUCGGGUUAGCAAUAAUUCGGCGGUCCUAGUGGCGCACGGGUGAGUAACACGUGGGUGACCUGCCCUUGAGUUCGGGAUACCCCCUCGAAAGGGGGGCUAAUACCGGAUACGUUCCCCGGUUGAAAGACUGGGGAGGAAAGGUGGCGCAAGCUGCCGCUCUUGGAGGGGCUCGCGGCCUAUCAGCUAGUUGGCGGGGUAACGGCCCACCAAGGCUAUGACGGGUAGCUGGUCUGAGAGGACGACCAGCCACACGGGGACUGAGACACGGCCCCGACUCCUACGGGAGGCAGCAGUGGGGAAUUUUCCGCAAUGGGCGAAAGCCUGACGGAGUGACGCCGCGUGUGGGACGAAGGCCUUCGGGUCGUAAACCACUGUCAGUGGGAAAGAUGGGUGUCGGCGCUAAUACCGCCGGCAUCUGACGGUACCUGCAGAGGAAGCCCCGGCCAACUCUGUGCCAGCAGCCGCGGUAAGACAGAGGGGGCAAGCGUUGCUCGGAAUUACUGGGCGUAAAGGGCGCGUAGGCGGGAUGGCAAGUCGGUCGUGAAAUCCCUCGGCUCAACUGAGGAACGUCGAUCGAUACUGCUGUUCUUGAGGAUUGCAGAGGAGACUGGAAUUCCCGGUGUAGCGGUGAAAUGUGUAGAGAUCGGGAGGAACACCGGUGGCGAAAGCGGGUCUCUGGGCAAUUCCUGACGCUGAGGCGCGAAAGCGUGGGGAGCAAACGGGAUUAGAUACCCUAGUAGUCC
rnacentral:rRNA from 1 species